AGUACUCUUUUACAAUUUGUGUGAUUGCGCAGAAACCAUACAGGAGUGUAUUCAUUUGUAUGUAAAGUGUGCAUUUUAAGCAAAAAUAGUGAAGAUGCAGUGAUUCUUGAAAUACUGUGGAUUUUUGUUGUUAAAAUCAAACGAAAUAAUUUUUCAUAUUUCCCCUGAAGGAUGUCCCAGAAGGAAAAUGUUGGUGGUAACUGUAGCAUCUAAAAAUUUGUGAUGCCAUCUUUUUCAAACUAGCGCCAGCAACAUUAAAGCAAUGGAGGGAAAGUUGUGCGUGUUAAAAUUAGGAAUUGUUCUAAACAAAUAUUCAGUAUAUAUGAACAAAGAGUGUCACGUGAUUGUAACUCAAUGAAAAGAUCGUGUUCACGGUGUGGUGGAUGUUUGGGAAGCUUCUUGUGUAUGCGUAAAUCCUGUCCCUCUUCCCACCAUCUCAUCGGCAAAAAAGAACAUGUAGAUGUGUGUGUGUGUAUUGCUUACCUAAAAAGAGAAGAAAAAAAAGAGCACAUUAGUAUCGGAUUCGAAAGGAAAACAAUGUUCUGCGUUGUUUAAUUAAAGCGAAAAACGCAUUUCACCGGAAUAAAUCUCUAAUGAAAAGCGACCGUGUCGGCCGUACCCGUAGAAGCAGCAGCAGUAUUUCCCUUCACUCAUUAGCGAGACACUUCCGGUUCGAGUGUUUGCUUCCAUCCUCCCCCAAAGGACAACUAAGAGCGCCAACAACAACAACAAAAAACCCAGUUUUGUACGCAGAGGAAUUUUCCCAUUUCAGUGAAACUUUACUCAAUAUUUCGUUUUUUUUUUGUGUGCGUUGCUUCUGACGAAACCAACCCGUGGGCAACCGACCGAAGUUGAAAUUGUGGACCACAGAGCGAGGGAGUGAGAGAGAGUGCUGCCGAUGGCGAAGAAAAAUAAAACUUGACCAAUCAAAUCCUACUCCCUCCCUCCCUUGUGCGCACGGUCCGAUGAGACACACGAACCACUGUGUCCUGGGAAAACGUGUCCUCAGCACUGAUAACUGUGUGUGCGUGUGUGUGUGUGUGCGUACAUACGAACCGUGGCAAAGGAGGAAAUAAAACAACCCCCAUUGCGUAUCACUGUCAAUUGUAAAGUCAAACAUCGUCGUCGUCGUCGUCGUUGUCGUCGAAGGUAUCUCUCCAGUUUUCGGAUGGGUGAAAGAGGGUCGUUCCAUUUCAAGCUUUCCAUGCCGGUAGGACCAACCGAAGGAUUCUGGAACCACCCGCAAAUGGACGAUGUUCAUUUGAUGGGUGGUGGUGGUGGUGGUAGCAACCAGCAAGCAGAGAGAUGAUCAACGGCAAAGAAUUGGACAGGCCAACGUUGGAGGAAGAGACAACCACCAUAAAAAAGGCCGGAGGUAUUGAAUCGAUUCAACUUCCCGUGUGCCUGUGAUUCGAUUCAUUCCUCCCAAACCCCCCGAUUGCUGAGUCCAAACGAGACAGGACAUUGGCAGGAUUUUUACCGAUAACUCACAACUCGCUACCGUUCUUUCGUUGUGGCAACAACAACAACAAAAUCAAUUCUAAACUCGAAAACUUCUGCCUUUUCGUGUGCCCGUGCGUUUCCCUGAUUUUGCGACCGAAUAGAUCAAUCUACUGGCGCAAAAACGCACACACACACAUACAUAAGAGCUUGUAUAGAAAAGUGUACAAACCCACCCACAGAGAGAGAGAGAGCACACGAAACACUCAAAAUGACGACGGAUGGACGAAUUGAUGGACGCAUCCGAGAGUGCGAGAGCGUGCGAGUGUGUGGCACAUCCGUCGUCCAUGGUCGCAUCGAACGGACGGAAGUGAACCCCGGCAGAGUGGGUGCUGUGCGUCUCCAUCCAUCCCAACACGGAAAGAAGAACGCACACAUAACGCACAACAACCUCCAUAAUUUCUCUUCCUUCUUCCCGCUCGUCUCAUUUCUGUGUAGGAAAUGGAAGGAAGAAAAAUUUACAGUUUCAUUCGGUUGUUUUGGUUGCCGAGAACCCUCACUCUGGUGCGAUUCCGUGCACCAGCAGCAGAGCGCGGUGCACAACACAACAACGUGGCAAAAUGGAGGAAAUUAGGGGAGUGGUGGUGGAAAUGCGAAACAAAAUGAAAACGAUUGCGAGUUUCAUCAGUGCGGCAGUUGCCUGAUACCUUGGACCAUUUGACACAUACGCAAUUUCCGUCCGAUUCCUUCCUUGACGACGACGACGACGACGGCAGGCUGAUGAAUUUUCUUCCUCCUAACUUCCUCCAACCAGGGGCAGUAGCAGCAUUAGAAAAGCCCGUCGAGAAGUGGUCUAAUCGAGCGCCAGCACACAAAAAACACAGAAGACACGAGAAUGUCCCUCCGACCAAAAGCGAAGAGAAUGUAAAUGAAAAAUAAAAUGAAGAAUUCUGCUG